rnacentral:rRNA from 1 species
GAUGAACGCUGGCGGCGUGCCUAAUACAUGCAAGUCGAGCGAACGGACGAGAAGCUUGCUUCUCUGAUGUUAGCGGCGGACGGGUGAGUAACACGUGGAUAACCUACCUAUAAGACUGGGAUAACUUCGGGAAACCGGAGCUAAUACCGGAUGAUAUUUUGAACCGCAUGGUUCAAAAGUGAAAGACGGUCUUGCUGUCACUUAUAGAUGGAUCCGCGCUGCAUUAGCUAGUUGGUAAGGUAACGGCUUACCAAGGCAACGAUGCAUAGCCGACCUGAGAGGGUGAUCGGCCAAACUGGAACUGAGACACGGUCCAGACUCCUACGGGAGGCAGCAGUAGGGAAUCUUCCGCAAUGGGCGAAAGCCUGACGGAGCAACGCCGCGUGAGUGAUGAAGGUCUUCGGAUCGUAAAACUCUUUUAUUAGGGAAGAACAUAUGUGUAAGUAACUGUGCACAUCUUGACGGUACCUAAUCAGAAAGCCACGGCUAACUACGUG